UACGAAGGGGGCUAGCGUUGCUCGGAAUGACUGGGCGUAAAGGGCGCGUAGGCGGCUCAUACAGUCAGAUGUGAAAUUCCUGGGCUUAACCUGGGGGCUGCAUUUGAUACGUGUGGGCUUGAGUGGGGAAGAGGGUCGUGGAAUUCCCAGUGUAGAGGUGAAAUUCGUAGAUAUUCGGAAGAACACCAGUGGCGAAGGCGACUCACUGGCCCAUUACUGACGCUGAGGCGCGAAAGCGUGGGGAGCAAACAGG
rnacentral:rRNA from 1 species